rnacentral:rRNA from 1 species
AUGAACGCUGGCGGCGUGCCUAAUACCUGCAAGUCGAGCGAACAGACGAGAGUGCUUGCACUCUCUGACGUUAGCGGCGGACGGGUGAGUAACACGUGGGUAACCUACCUAUAAGACUGGGAUAACUUCGGGAAACCGGAGCUAAUACCGGAUAAUAUUUAGCUUCGCAUGAAGCAAUAGUGAAAGACGGUUCUGCUGUCACUUAUAGAUGGACCCGCGGUGUAUUAGCUAGUUGGUGAGGUAACGGCUCACCAAGGCAACGAUACAUAGCCGACCUGAGAGGGUGAUCGGCCACACUGGGACUGAGACACGGCCCAGACUCCUACGGGAGGCAGCAGUAGGGAAUCUUCCGCAAUGGACGAAAGUCUGACGGAGCAAUGCCGCGUGAGUGAAGAAGGUUUUCGGAUCGUAAAACUCUGUUGUAAGGGAAGAACAAGUACGUUAGUAACUGAACGUACCUUGACGGUACCUUACCAGAAAGCCACGGCUAACUACGUG